GACGAACGCUGGCGGCGUGCUUAACACAUGCAAGUCGAACGGACUACUUUGCUUCGGUAAGGUGGUUAGUGGCGAACGGGUGAGUAACGCGUAGACAACCUACCUCUUAGAUGGGGACAACAUCGCGAAAGCGGUGCUAAUACCGAAUGAAGUGGCUUUCCUGCAUGGGAGAGAUACUAAAGGUGGCCUCUAUUUAUAAGCUACCACUGAGAGAUGGGUCUGCGUCUGAUUAGCUAGUUGGCGGGGUAACGGCCCACCAAGGAGACGAUCAGUAGCCGGUCUGAGAGGAUGAACGGCCACAUUGGGACUGAGACACGGCCCAAACUCCUACGGGAGGCAGCAGUGGGGAAUCUUCCGCAAUGGACGAAAGUCUGACGGAGCAACGCCGCGUGAGUGAAGAAGGUUUUCGGAUCGUAAAGCUCUGUUGUUUGAGACGAAUGCGCCUGUUUCAAAUAGGGAUAGGUAAUGACGGUAUUAAACGAGAAAGCCACGGCUAACUACGUGCCAGCCGCCGCGGUAA
rnacentral:rRNA from 1 species